CCUACGGGUGGCAGCAGUGGGGAAUAUUGCACAAUGGGGGAAACCCUGAUGCAGCGACGCCGCGUGAGUGAAGAAGUAUCUCGGUAUGUAAAGCUCUAUCAGCAGGGAAGAAAAUGACGGUACCUGACUAAGAAGCCCCGGCUAACUACGUGCCAGCAGCCGCGGUAAUACGUAGGGGGCAAGCGUUAUCCGGAUUUACUGGGUGUAAAGGGAGCGUAGACGGCAGCACAAGUCUGGAGUGAAAUCCCGGGGCUUAACCCCGGAACUGCUUUGGAAACUGUGCAGCUAGAGUGCAGGAGGGGUAAGCGGAAUUCCUAGUGUAGCGGUGAAAUGCGUAGAUAUUAGGAGGAACACCGGUGGCGAAGGCGGCUUACUGGACUGUAACUGACGUUGAGGCUCGAAAGCGUGGGGAGCAAACAGGAUUAGAUACCCUUGUAGUC
rnacentral:rRNA from 1 species